CCUACGGAGGGCAGCAGUGGGGGAUAUUGGGCAAUGGGCGCAAGCCUGACGCAGCAACGCCGCGUGAAGGAAGAAGGAUUUCGGGAUGUAAACUUCUUUUGUCAGGGAAGAGUAGAAGACGGUACCUGACGAAUAAGCAACGGCUAACUACGUGCCAGCAGCCGCGGUAAUACGUAGGUGGCAAGCGUUGUCCGGAUUUACUGGGUGUAAAGGGAGUGUAGGCGGGUUGACAAGUCAGAUGUGAAAUCCUGCGGCUUAACCGCAGAACUGCAUUGGAAACUGUUGGUCUUGAGUACUGGAGAGGCAGACGGAAUUCCUAGUGUAGCGGUGAAAUGCGUAGAUAUUAGGAGGAACACCAGUGGCGAAGGCGGUCUGCUGGACAGCAACUGACGGUGAGGCGCGAAAGCGUGGGGAGCAAACAGGAUUAGAUACCCGUGUAGUC
rnacentral:rRNA from 1 species